AUUGAACGCUGGCGGCAUGCUUUACACAUGCAAGUCGAACGGCAGCGAGAGAGAAGCUUGCUUCUUUUGUCGGCGAGUGGCGAACGGGUGAGUAAUACAUCGGAACGUACCCUGUAGUGGGGGAUAACUACUCGAAAGAGUAGCUAAUACCGCAUACAACCUGAGGGUAAAAGUGGGGGACCGCAAGGCCUCACGCUAUAGGAGCGGCCGAUGGAAGAUUAGCUAGUUGGUAGGGUAAAGGCCUACCAAGGCGACGAUCUUUAGCGGGUCUGAGAGGACGAUCCGCCACACUGGGACUGAGACACGGCCCAGACUCCUACGGGAGGCAGCAGUGGGGAAUUUUGGACAAUGGGCGAAAGCCUGAUCCAGCAAUGCCGCGUGAGUGAAGAAGGCCUUCGGGUUGUAAAGCUCUUUUGUUUGGGAAGAAAUCCUAACGGAUAAUACCUGUUGGGGAUGACGGUACCAAAAGAAUAAGCACCGGCUAACUACGUGCCAGCCGCCGCAGUAACAC
rnacentral:rRNA from 1 species